ACAAAGUGUAGCUUAAUUAAAGCCCCUUGCUUACACCAAGGUAAUGCCCUCUAACCCCGGGCCACUCUG
rnacentral:tRNA from 1 species